rnacentral:tRNA from 11 species
GCCCAGUGGUUGAGACGCCAGGCUAACAACCUAAAGGUCACUGGUUCGAGUCCGGU